CGCCGGUCAUAAACCGGAGGAAGGUGGGGAUGACGUCAAGUCAGCAUGGCCUUUAUAUCCUGGGCUACACACACGCUACAAUGGGAAGGGACAAUAGGUUGCGAAGCCGCGAGGCGGAGCCAAUCCAGCAAAACUUCCCUCAGUUCAGAUUGCAGGCUGCAACUCGCCUGCAUGAAGUUGGAGUUGCUAGUAACCGCAGGUCAGCUAUACUGCGGUGAAUACGUUCCCGGGGAUU
rnacentral:rRNA from 1 species